rnacentral:lncRNA from 1 species
AAUCUCAAAUGCAAAUAUUAUUCAUGGAACAUGCUGCAAAUCAAUAGGCAAAAAACUGUCCUUGUUUGGAUGUAUUGUGACUGCAGACUGAGGGAAUAAAGACUACUAUAUGUGGAUAAUGUGCACUUUCCUGCAGUGUGCAACAUAUAAACUAAAAGAAACCAUUAUACAGCAAAUAUCAUAAAUCUGGCAGCAAGAACUUUGGAUGGAAUAGGAAGUUAGUCCUCAAAUUUAGACCCAACACCUUAACCAAUUCCACCAAGGAAGUCUCCAACCUGCAUAGGAGCCGUGAUGCCCGUGACACACAAUAACAGAGAUAAUGCACAUUUUAUACUACAAAAAGAAGCAGAUUCUGCAGUACUCUACAUUCAAAGCUUCCAUCUUUAAUACUGCAACUUUUACUACAUUCAAGCUUCCAUCUUUAAUACAGCAACUUUUACUACAUUCAAGCUUCCAAGACUGAAAUGCUCAAGUUUUAACUUGUAGUAUCAUCACCCCUCCUUCAAAGACGGCAAGAGGACAUCAGCAAAUCCCUUAUCAUGCUCCUAAUCCUUCACUUCCUUUUGAUUUUUAAAACCUCUGCGGCAUAUGAUUCAUGUAUAUACUUAAGGCAACCAACCCAAUACAUCACUGAGCCACAAAUGGGGUUACUGUGCCAAAAAUUAAUUCAUGCUCCAGCAUAAAGCACACAAAUUCUGCAAGGUUCUACAUUCAUAUAUUGCAUAAGAAAGUUGAUAGUUGGUGCCUGUCUUAGAUGGGUACAGAAGACUAGUGCCUACUUCCAGCUUCACAUAAAGCUAUGUCACCUGCUCCUUCCAUUCUGCUUCCCUUUUUCCCUGCACCCCAGUCUAAGUUCACUGCUAAAAGUCCACCCUGCAUCAAAAUCUUCCAAAGAGAAACCUGUGAUGGUCUGGCCGGUCCAACCAUCACUGCUGCCUCCACAAUGAUCAAAUAAGAUACAU